AAAUUCACGUGGCGGGGGCGGGGCAGAGGAGCGGCCUUGCGAAGCUCCUCCCACACCCCGUUGGAAUGGACCCUGCUUGCUCUCCCUGUCAGUCAGCGGCGUCCCCCGCAAGGGGAGUCCUCCCGUCAGGCGCUCCCGCCCCCUCCUCUCCGUCUCUCUCUGCCCCGUGAUUUUGGAAGGGAAUCCUCUUCUUCCGACCACCACUUCCGCUCUUCCCCUACACGGCCAGGAAACAAGCCUGGCUACACAAGUACCGCGGGCGUCAGCGACAUGUCGCCCGUGGCAAACAGGGCGGUGUGUAGCCCGCCAGCCGUCCCCCCGCGCGCCCCGCCACCACAUCUCCUUCAACUCCUCUUUUUCUCCCACGGCUAGAAUUGAUUGGCUUCGCCUCUUCUCCCCCUCUGCACAUCCCCACACCGUAUAUUAUUUUUAUCUUAUCAUAGUAAUAAAUAAACAGCGCGGUGCCGCUAACUGCUCCAAGCGCUUCAUGUCCAUUGUUUCUGUAAUCCAUACAACCCCCUUGUGAGGUAGUCCCAAAGCUGGGGGUGGGGCGUUCCGCUGGGAACAUAUUGCCUCCAGCAGUUGUCCCGUGUGUUGUUCAUACCAGCCCUUCCCUGGCGCCAUAUAAGCUCCUAUUCUCCGAAAAGAAUUGACUCCCUAGUGAGACUAUGCACGUAGUGUCCGUAGGCCAACAUCUUCUCAAAGCCAUGUUAAUCAAUCCAGUAUAACUCCCCCACCCGCCCCCGCUGUGGUAAUCCCUAUGAGUAACACAAAUCCCAACCCCUCACUUCAUCCAGAAGCAUGCACUGAAAAGCUGAAAUGCACUGAAAGAACUCACACCAGACUCAUUCUGUUUACCGUAAUGUUGAUGGCGAAUGCCAUAAAAGUGCAGGGUGUUGUGUUCAGGGGAUCAUUUUAAAUCACUGGUCUCUUUUAAAAAAUUUGGGACAUUGGUCAAUUGACUACUAGUGUAAUCACUGCCAAAUAUUCUAUAGAGUGAUUGUUGCUCCUGAACAGAUGGCAAUAACAAGAAUUACAGUACACACAUUCACAUGAUCCUGCACAGCGCACUAUAACAUGGUUUAAACUGGCUUUCGUGUUGUAGGGCUCACUAUGUGUAUUUUAUUUUAUUUUAAGGCCCUGAAAUUCUGGGAUAAAACCAAGAAUUGCUCACAUUCCUUCAUUAUACAUUACUCUACAUAUCUAUUUACAUAACAUUUUGAUUUUUUAAAAUAAGUGUUUAUCAUUUUAAACACCAACUAGAAAACAACAAAAAAACAAGGAAUAACCAGAUUUUUUUACCUCUUGGGAAGAGGCAGAAGUUGCACAUGGGCAAAUGUUUCCCUUCUACUAAACAGUUUUCUUUAAAAUAAAAUUUUAAAAAUGGUUUUUGAAUGUAAAAUGUUUGCAGGCACAAUGCUUCUCCAUGUUUUCCUGUUCGAUGUAUUCUGAUGCAUUCAUAUAUUCACCUAUGGUUCCCAAUAAUUUCCAUGAAAUUACAUCCCAGACAAAAUUACAUGAAAUUACAUCCCAGACAAAACCCUUUUCUGUUACGGGGACAUCUUUUGGUAUAGCACCCUCUAGUGUCCCAGCAACUUUGUCCAGUAAUAUGGAUUUGCUUUUAACUCAGCUCCUGAAACCGAGUGAAUAUGUCUACAUCGUAGUUCUCAUUCCAAAAAAGUGUUCAUUUAUGUAUUUUAUAGCUUCAAAUAUAAGCAUGUAUUUUAGAAAUUCAAUAAAUAGAAGACAAAAGCUGAAGCAGUUUUAAAAAAAUGUUUACUUCCAAAUUAAAUUGGAAGAAAGUUCAGCAAAAAUGACAACCAUAUAGCCCUUGCAAAAAUUCAAGCAGAAAGCAGAGUUUGUCUAAAUAACAAAUAUACAUUUGUAAGGUUUUAAUAAAUAGGAGCUCUGCAUUGAUUGUCAGCAUCCACAGAUUCUAAUACAGCUGCAGGACGUUUAGCUUUUUGACAGAUCACCAAUCCAAGAAUUAAGUUUGGACGUGUUGCUUCAAGACCUGUAAGACAAAAGAAGAUUCCAUACCAGCAGAAGCAAGCUUCUUGUGGAAAGGAGGUCUACUCUUUGACAGAAUCAUCUAGUGGUCCACAUACAGACAGAGAACUAAGAUGUAUUCCAGUUGAUAUUUAUUUUCACCACAAGUACGGUAAACAGAGACACAGCAGUUAUCCCACAUAUCUGCCUAUUAGCUGCUUCUUCCAGAUUAUCAUUCAAAAUGGAGAACCACAAGCUAGAGAACCACAAGCUAUGCUCCACUUGCUAAAUGAGGCAUUCUUGACCCCGCUUCCACACUGCAGUUGCCCACAUCCUCUGAAAAGCCAGUUUUUAGGACCAGAGAAGCCUUGGAAACAAGUGUGAGACAUGAUAGCUCUUUGGAUAAAAGUUCUUCUGGCUUCAUUCUUACUAGCUUUGACAAAGGAAUGUCUUCUCGAAGAACACGAUGGAAAAGCCCCUUAAGAGAGAAAGGAUAGAUUUUAACAUCAGAAUAAUGAGUACCUACUUACACAACUGAAAAAUAUUAUUUUCUACUUGCUUGAAGUCUCUGAUGAGGUCUGCUGAAGCAUGGACAAUCAAAGACUGAGGAGAUGAGGAGAGGCGCAGCUGCAUAUAGCGGCUGGGGGCAGGGUUCCCCCGAAAGCAGGAGAUGAAGCUUGGAAGAUUCACACAAGCACGAAGCCCAGAAGUGUAAAAGGACAGGUGACCACUAGAACCACCAUAGUUACAGGUGAUAAGAAACAUGCGACAUAGGUUAUGGAAUCCAGAUGCUACAGUGAAAGGGAUUCAUUUGCGUCAAUUCCCCAGGAAAUUGUCAAAAUGCAGGGAGCGCAAGGGGGCAUUUAUGAGCUACUCCCUUUUUUUCUCACAACCACCUUGUGAAUCAUCAGUGACCUUCGUAGCUUAGAGGAAAUUCAAAGCAAGAUUUUCUGGGUCAUCAUUCAACAAAACCAUUACACCAUAUUGGCUCCCCAGUGCCAGCCGUGAUGUAAAGUCAUUCAUGAUGCAAAUAAACCAACAAAGCAGUCUACAUUAAUCUUUAAA